GACGAACGCUGGCGGCGUGCCUAACACAUGCAAGUCGAACGGAAAGGCGCUGCUUUUGUGGGGUGCUCGUGUGGCGAACGGGGGAGUAUCACGUGAGUAUCCUGCCCUUGACUUUGGGAGAACAUCAGGGAACUGGGGCUCAUACCGGAUAGGAGCUCCUGCUGCAUGGUGGGGGUUGGAAAGUUUCGGCGGUUGGGGAUGGACUCGCGGCUUAUCAGCUUGUUGGUGGGGUAGUGGCUUACCAAGGCUUUGACGGGUAGCCGGCCUGAGAGGGUGACCGGCCACAUUGGGACUGAGAUACGGCCCAGACUCCUACGGGAGGCAGCGGUGGGGAAUCUUGCAGAAUGGGCGGAAGCCUGAUGCGGCAACGCCGCGUGCGGGAUGACGGCCUUCUGGUUGUAAACCGCUUUCGCCUGUGACGAAGCGUGAGUGACGGUAACGGGUAAAGAAGCACCGGCUAACUACGUG
rnacentral:rRNA from 1 species